rnacentral:lncRNA from 1 species
CGUGUCCAGCUCCCAUCUGUCACUCCAAGGACCGACCUCCGCCGCGGUCUAGGCAGAGAAGGGGGUCGGGCCAGCUCCCGGGGGCUGUUUCUCCGGCUCUCCUCCCUGGCCUCCCCCCGCCGCUUGCGAACAGUGGAGGCGCCCCACGGAACGCUGUGUAACUGUUGCUGACCGCAGCGUUCUAGUUCGGAACGCGGGCGGCGCCAACGUUCCAUCCUCCGGCAGUGGUCUGCGGCGUCCAGGACAAAGCCGGGGCUGCAGCCAUGGCGGUCAAAAUCCAUGUGGUUUACUGCGGUGCCUGAGGUUACAAGCCCAAGGUCAGUGAUGGGGGGGUGGGGCGGAGGAUGGAGUCGGGGAAUGAUUCGGGAGGUUAGGGUUGUCCCACCCCGCUGUGGGAUCAUCGUCCCAUCUUUUGCUCUAUCUCAGUAUCUGUUGCUGAAGAAGAAGCUAGAAGAGGAAUUUCCGGGCCUCGUGAGCAUCGUGAGUGUCUCGUGGUGGGUGGGUGUUGGGGGGAAGGGGGUGUCAUGUAACAGGAAAUCUCAGCCCCGGAGAUUCCAGCCUCAGAUGUCUGCUGGGCUGACGGAUAGGCAGGGAAGCUUGCACCCCAGCUUACCAUCCGGGAGCUUUGCGUUUUCACUCUGGUUCUGCCGGGCGGGGGUGGUACCUGGUAAAUUCAGUGUCCCGAGCCACAGCUCCUGGGAACUUGCCCUAGUUACUGCAAACACCUUGCCCCAACCCACUUCCCACUAUCCCAGGGCUGGGGUGGGGACGGUGGGGGGAGGGACAUCGUGAAAGCCUCGGCCUCUUUCCUCCCUGCCUCCAGAAUGGCGAGGGAACCCAGGAGGUCACGGGCUUCUUUGAAGUAACUGUUGGAGGGAAGCUUGUGCAUUCCAAGAAGGUGAGUGGGGCUGCAUCUGGGUCUUCCAGCCCCAUCCCUCCUGUUUCUUCCUGGUCACUGCUUGGUGACCCGAGGCCAGCAGCUGCCUCCAUGGCCGGGGGGGGGGGGGGGGGGGGGGGGGGCCUGUGCACAAUGGAAGCAUUGAGCUAUUCGGCUGAGAGGAGCUGGGGGUGGGGGCAGCUCUGGCUCACCCCUUCUCUGCUCCCUAGGCUGGACAUGGCUUCGUGGACUCCUCAGACAAAUACCUGCAUAUUGUAGCGGAGAUCAAGGCCGCCCUGGGCAAGUGAGGCCUGAAGGCAGAGGUGAGGGGCUCCCUGGGGCAGCCAGGCCAGGGAUGGGCGGGCCCUCAGGACUGCCAUUUCUGCUUCAGGACAAACUUGUCCCCUGACUGGAGGUGUGACCCUGCCCAAAUGAAAGUGGGAGGUGGUCCCACUUUUCAUGGCUCAGCCUUGAAAUCUGGCCGCCCUAACCCUCCCCCUUCUUCUCUCCUUAGCUCAGGGGCCUUGUCCCUGUCCCUGCCCACGGUGCUUUAUGACGGGAAGGAUUGAAAUGUUCUCUGGAUUCCUGGUUCUUCCCUGAAAUCCUUGCAUCUGUUGGGCUGGGGCUGAGACGAAUGCUCCUGGAUCCUGCACUGUGUGUGUGUGUGUGUGUGUGUCUGUCCCUAGCUCCUUGUCCAAAGUCUCACUGUCCUAUGGGUCCGUUAGACUCCUUCCGGAUUCCUGCUUCUUCCUGCCCCAGCCGUCUCCCCCAUCGAGGCCUCCUUUCCUCAGCCCCUCCCAGGUCCGUUGGGCUUUCCCUUUUCCCUGCUGGAGUGAUGGCCCUCCUGUCCAGGCUCCUUGGUUCUCAGACAUCUCUUCUGUAAAAUGAGAGGGUGACAGCCUCAGAGUGGCCUUGUACAUUGGAGGGGGCCCUUUCCCACCUUUACUGGGGAUGGAGGGAGGCUCCCACCUGGCCUGGUGUGGCCCAGGAAGGCUCUUAGAAACAGUAUUGUGCACAAGGGCUAAUUAAUAAAUGGAAGAAAUUAAAUGUCGGUUAUGUCUGU